UAAUACGUAGGGUGCAAGCGUUAAUCGGAAUGACUGGGCGUAAAGGGUGCGCAGGCGGUUUGUUAAGACGGAUGUGAAAGCCCCAGGCUCAACCUGGGAAUGGCAUACGUGACUGACAAACUAGAAUAUGGUAGAGGGAGGCGGAAUUCCAUGUGUAGCAGUGAAAUGCGUAGAGAUGUGGAGGAACACCGAUGGCGAAGGCAGCCUCCUGGGCCAAUAUUGACGCUCAGGCACGAAAGCGUGGGGAGCAAACAGGAUUAGAUACCCUGGUAGUCCACGCCCUAAACGAUGUCAACUGGUUGUUAGGGGAAUUUUUCCUUAGUAACGUAGCUUACGCGUGAAGUUGACCGCCUGGGGAGUACGGUCGCAAGACUA
rnacentral:rRNA from 1 species